UACAGAGGUCUCAAGCGUUGUUCGGAUUCAUUGGGCGUAAGGGGUGCGUAGGCGGCGCGGUAAGUCGGGUGUGAAAUCUUGGAGCUUAACUCCGAAACUGCAUUCGAUACUGCCGUGCUUGAGGACUGGAGAGGAGACUGGAAUUUACGGCGUAGCGGUGAAAUGCGUAGAUAUCGUAAGGAAGACCAGUGGCGAAGGCGGGUCUCUGGACAGUUCCUGACGCUGAGGCACGAAGGCCAGGGGAGCAAACGGG
rnacentral:rRNA from 1 species